UGAAAAUUGAAAAUAAUAGUGUGAGUUGGGUAUCCGUGUACUAUGGACACCUUCUUGUUUCUGUCAGUUUUUUUCCAGAACUGUUUAAUGUUAAGUAACUGAUGUCUGUGGUAAACUUAGGUGGUAGUUUUGUUAUUCUUUUUAUUCUUAAUUUGGCUUGGUUGAAUAAAGUCCAAAACCACCUUGUAGGAAAGAGUAGAUGGGGAUUACCAAAUAGAGAAUAAUAGGCAAAAAAAUAAAGAACUUAGAAAAAAAUGGCAAACAAAAAUUAAGGCUAGAGAAAAUGGGGUAAUAAAAUAUAAAGAAAAAAAGCAAAAACUCAAGAAUUUGGUAAAAAUAUACUAAUUAAAGAAUGUCUUGUUAUUACAGAUUAGUCAUAAUUAUUAUGAAAGUGUAAAGAGGAUUUUUUUCCAUGACAGGGCCCACCCCCCUUUUUUGGGAAAAAUUUGGUUGAUCAUUAAGCGAAUCAUUGAAGCAUGACUGAAGCAGGCUCCCUCUUAGGCAGUCAGUGGGCCCCCACUUGUGAAAAUUUCUGGAUCCGCCA
rnacentral:lncRNA from 1 species